rnacentral:rRNA from 1 species
CACGUAGGGGGCUAGCGUUGUCCGGAAUCAUUGGGCGUAAAGAGCGUGUAGGCGGCCCGGUAAGUCCGCUGUAAAAGUCAAAGGCUCAACCUUUGAAUGUCAGUGGAUACUGCCGGGCUAGAGUCCGGAAGAGGCGAGUGGAACUCCUGGUGUAGCGGUGGAAUGCGCAGAUAUCAGGAGGAACACCGAUGGCGAAGGCAGGUCUCUGGGCCACUACUGACGCUGAGAAGCGAAAGCAUGGGGAGCGAACAGG